rnacentral:rRNA from 1 species
UACGUAGGCUGCAAGCGUUGUUCGGAGUUACUGGGCGUAAAGGGUGCGUAGGCGGCUUUUUACGUCUGGUGUGAAAUCUCCCGGCUCAACUGGGAGGGUGCGCCGGAUACUGAGGGGCUAGAGUGUGGGAGAGGAAAGUGGAAUUCCUGGUGUAGCGGUGAAAUGCGUAGAUAUCAGGAGGAACACCGGUGGUGUAAACGAGGUUCUGGACCAUAACUGACGCUGAGGCACGAAAGCGUGGGUAGCAAACGGG